rnacentral:misc_RNA from 1 species
UUUCCGUAGGUGAACCUGCGGAAGGAUCAUUAACGCGCAAACUGUGAGGGGCAAGCGAGGUCUGUCGGUGACCCAAAAGACGUCCGCGCACGAGUGUGCCCUCUUGCAUCAUACUACAUCUCACCCUUUGUGCAUCACCGGGGGGGCACCCUUAGGGAUCAUCUCGGAGGGGGGGUCGCGGUUUCACACAAACCCCCCUUUUAAAAAUGUAGAAUGACCACAUUUAUGCAAUCAAUACAACUUUCAACAACGGAUCUCUUGGCUCUC